UACGGGGGGGGCAAGCGUUGUUCGGAAUUAUUGGGCGUAAAGGGCUCGUAGGCGGCCAACUAAGUCAGACGUGAAAUCCCUCAGCUUAACUGGGGAACUGCGUCUGAUACUGGAUGGCUUGGAUCCGGGAGAGGGAUGCGGAAUUCCAGGUGUAGCGGUGAAAUGCGUAGAUAUCAGGAGGAACACCGGUGGUGUAGACGGCUUUCUGGACCGUAACUGACGCUGAGACACGAAAGCGUGGGUAGCAAACAGG
rnacentral:rRNA from 1 species